rnacentral:lncRNA from 1 species
CUUUUUUGCCUAGACUCUCUUUUUUUUUGUCCAGCGGGUCAAUUAUGUGAAGUAUUUUUUAGCUGCAUCUGAGUUGACAGGGGAUGGGAAGUCUUCGCCAUCCAUGGUUGUUAGCAUCAAAGCUCCGCCAGAGAAAACUCUUUUAACCACGUAUGGACCCUCAUAGUUCGGUGUCCAUUUGCCCCUGUGAAGCUCCGCCAGAGAAAACUCUUUUAACCACGUAUGGACCCUCAUAGUUCGGUGUCCAUUUGCCCCUGUGAUCUGUGUUGGGAGGAAAAAUUCUUUUGAGUACCAAUUCACCGACUUGAUACUCCCGAUGGCGCACUUUCU